GAGAGCUGUCUCCUGUCAGUAUAGAGUAGCUACACGGGAGACCUUACAGAAGUGCAGCUGCAGCAGUACAGCAGUGUCACUGUAAGGUCUGUAAUGUAGGCAUAGCCUGGGUCCCAGGUAAAAG